rnacentral:SRP_RNA from 1 species
AAUAAAUAUGCGCAACAAAUAUGUUGGAAACAGGUCAGGAUUGGAAAAUAGCAGCCUUAACAACCUCUGUUUGUGUGUGCUUUUUUUAUGG